rnacentral:tRNA from 3 species
AAGGACUUAAGUUAAAAAAACUAGUAACCUUCAAAGUUAAAUAUAAAAGAAAUCUUUUAGACCUUA